rnacentral:rRNA from 1 species
GCACAAGCGGUGGAGCUAUGUGUUUAAUCGAAGCAACGCGAAGUAACCUUACCAGGUCUUGACAUCCCGAUGCUUAUUUCUAGAGAUAGAAAGUUACUUCGGUACAUCGGUGACAGGUGGUGCAUGGUUGUCGUCAGCUCGUGUCGUGAGAUGUUGGGUUAAGUCCCGCAACGAGCGCAACCCCUAUUGUUAGUUGCCAUCAUUCAGUUGGGCACUCUAGCGAGACUGCCGGUAAUAAACCGGAGGAAGGUGGGAUGACGUCAAAUCAUCAUGCCCCUUAUGACCUGGGCUACACACGUGCUACAAUGGUUGGUACAACGAGUUGCGAGUCGGUGACGGCGAGCUAAUCUCUUAAAGCCAAUCUCAGUUCGGAUUGUAGGCUGCAACUCGCCUACAUGAAGUCGGAAUCGCUAGUAAUCGCGGAUCAGCACGCCGCGGUGAAUACGUUCCCGGGCCUU